UACGGGGGGGGCAAGCGUUGUUCGGAAUUACUGGGCGUAAAGGGCUCGUAGGCGGCCAACUAAGUCGGACGUGAAAUCCCCAGGCUCAACCUGGGAACUGCGUCCGAUACUGGAUGGCUUGAAUCCGGGAGAGGGAUGCAGAAUUCCAGGUGUAGCGGUGAAAUGCGUAGAUAUCUGGAGGAAUACCGGUGGCGAAGGCGGCAUCCUGGACCGGCAUUGACGCUGAGUGAGCGAAAGCCAGGGGAGCAAACGGG
rnacentral:rRNA from 1 species